UUCCCCUCUUCUUCCUCUGCCCCCCGCCUCGCUUACGGAACCCACAAGCUCUCGCAGUCGCAGCUUCUCCUCCUCAUCGGUGCCUGCCCCUCAACCUCGCCGCUGCUCCUUCAUGCGUCCCAUUCCCACAAAGGCAGUAUGAAAUAUUGGGGAAGGCAGGUGACUUGACUAUGUUGUUUAAUCGGAUAGAAUUGUCUUGUUAUCCUUGAUCUUGAGAAGCAAAAUUUGAGUAAUCUAUUAGCCAUUUUCUUUCUCUGCAAGCUGCAUGAUGCAAAUGUGGGAAUGCAGUCAGCUUUCAACAAAUGUGUUUAUAGUGCAUGCCAUCUUCAUCCCAUUUUGUACUGAAAGACCUUUCUCUAAGUCAAUUCCAAAAGUUCAUUCCUAAAAAAUGGAAACAAACUUCCAAAGAAGUAAUUCUUCAAAACAAUCACCUGGUUCUGGGUAAGUGUACAACUGGCAAUGAAUCUAUGAUAGAUAACCUUUUUAAUUCUCUCAGAGAGUUUGCCUGUCAGGGCCAUUUAUUAAAAGCAUUCAAAACCUUUUCUCUGAUCCAGUACCAUGUCUCUUGUACUACUUCAAAUGAUAUUGUUCAGCAUUCCAUAUCUUCUCUUCUUUUAUCUUGUGUCAACCUUAAAUCGCUUCCACAGGGUAAACAGCUCCAUGCCCUCAUUAUCUCUUUGGGAUUUGAGCAACACCCCAUUUUGGUUCCCAAGCUUGUCAAUUUUUACUCAAACGCUGAUCUUUUAGUUGAUGCUCACACCAUUACUGAAAAUUCCAAUAUUUUGCACCCUUUACCUUGGAAUCUGCUUAUCUCUUCUUAUGUUCGAAAUGGACUAUAUGGAGAGGCACUUUCUGCCUAUAAGAAGAUGAUAAGUAAAGGCAUUAGACCUGAUCAUUUCACUUACCCAUCUGUUCUCAAGGCUUGUGGUGAAAAAUUGGAUCUAGCCUUUGGGAGAGAGGUUCAUGAAUCCAUUAAUGCUAGCUGUCAUGUAUGGAGCUUAUUUGUGCAUAAUUCCUUGGUUUCAAUGUAUGCAAAAAUUGGUGAAUUGGAGAUUGCCCGUUGCUUGUUUGACAAAAUGCCAGAAAGAGAUGCUGUUUCUUGGAAUGCUAUGAUUUCUGGUUAUGCCUCCAAGGGAAUGUGGAAGGAAGCAUUUGAGCUGUUUGAAAAAAUGCAGUUAGCCGGUGUUGAAUUGAAUAUUAUAAUUUGGAACACAAUAGCUGGAGGGUGCUUGCAGUUGGGCAAUUUUAAGGGGGCACUUGAAUUGCUUUCUCAUAUGAGAAGUUGUGGCAUUUGUUUGGAUUCAGUUGCAAUGAUUAUUGGUUUGGGUGCAUGUUCCCAUAUUGGUGCCAUCAGAUUAGGUACAGAGAUUCAUGGUUCUGCAAUUCGCAGCUUUUGUGAUGGAGCUGAUAAUGUUAGAAAUGCCCUGAUCACUAUGUAUUCUAGGUGCAAAGAUCUUAGACAUGCCUACAUUUUGUUUCAAUUAGUAAAAACUAAGAGCAUAAUUACCUGGAACUCCAUGCUUUCUGGUUAUGCCCACAUGGAUAGAUCUGAAGAAGCAUCAUUCCUAUUCAGAGAAAUGUUGCGCUGUGGCAUUGAGCCAAAUUAUGUGACUAUAGCGAGCAUUCUUCCCCUUUGUGCUCGAGUGGCAAAUCUACAACAUGGCAAGGAGUUCCAUUGUUACAUUUUGAGGCGUGCAGGAUUUAAGAAUUAUUUGUUGCUGUGGAACACUCUUGUUGACAUGUAUGCAAGAUGUGGAAAAGUUUUAGAAGCUAAAAGGCUGUUUGAUUCAAUGAACAGGAGGGAUGAAGUGACAUAUACUUCCUUGAUUGCUGGGUUUGGAAUACAGGGAGAGGGACGAGCGGCAUUAAAACUUUUUUAUGAAAUGAACAGGAAUAAUAUUAAACCAGACCAUGUAACAAUGGUGGCAGUUCUAUCAGCUUGUAGCCAUUCAGGCCUAGUAACUGAAGGAAAAAUGUUGUUUCAAAAGAUGUGUAGUGCUUAUGGCAUAGUUCCACGUUUGCAGCACUUUGCCUGCAUGGUUGACCUCUAUGGGAGGGCUGGAUUAUUACAUAAAGCUAAGGAGAUGAUCACAAAGAUGCCUUACAGGCCAACCUCUGCCAUGUGGGCCACUCUUUUAGGAGCUUGCCGUAUCCAUGGAAAUACUGAGAUAGGUGAAUGGGCUGCCGAGAAAUUGUUGGAAAUGAGGCCUGAAAAUUCAGGUUACUAUGUGUUGAUUGCUAAUAUGUAUGCUGCUGCCGGUCGUUGGAACAAGCUAGCAAAGGUGAGGACUUACAUGAGGGACUUGGGUGUGAGGAAGGCUCCUGGCUGUACCUGGGUUGAUGUGGGCUCUGAAUUUUUACCAUUUCUGGUCGGAGAUACAUCAAAAGCUAAUGCAGAUGAGUUUUACCCAUUAUUGGAGGGGUUGACUAAUCUAACUAAAGAUGCUGAUUAUGAUGCCAGAGAAAGUUUGGGUUCUGUUAAAGUGCUGGAGGAAGUAGGAUGAUUCCCAAUAAUGCAUUCUGGAUGUAUUUCACGUGAAUUAAAUUUGUCAUUCUUGUCCCAUGGCAGCAAUUUAUUAUGUGAUCUAUAACAGAAGUCAAGAAACAAAAGAAAUAUACCUUAAGGCCCUUCUGAAUUGGGUCAGACUUGUAGUAUUCAUGGGAUCUUUCUGGUCGGUAAAAAAAAGUAUGAUUCAUAAACAGCCUUUUGUUGAUGAUGAUUCUUAUGAGGUUGCUUUCAAGCAUCCUAGACACCUGGAACACAUUGAUCAACUUGCUCCAAUUGCCUCUCUUAAUGAAUCUCAUCCGAAAACUACAACUUCAGAUGGUGAUAAAUGUCUUUGUAAUUGUCAACAUAUUGGGAGGUCUCCAAAUGGUUCAGUCGUAGUGGUUUCAAAUGACACCAACAACUUUGAAAGUGGUGCUUCUGGCUGUUUUCCCCAAUUUUUAUGCAUCAACAACAGAAUUCUUGAAGCAGAUAAUCUCUCAUUUUUCCUUGAAUAUUUUGAUCAUGGACACCAGCUCGGGGCUUUACUUCAGCGUGAUGAUGUGUUCUCAUCUUUUGACUAUCCCUUUUGGAAUCCAGUUUAAAUUGGAGGAUAUUGCAAAUGCUGAACUAGCUCCAAUCAAUCCCAUCCGGCUAGGACUAGCACUGAACUUCUGUGUUUUAUUAUGAGAUCUUGAACUCCUCAUUGUGCUUGCAGUCUUUGCAAUCUGGGUAACACCACCCUCCUUCACAUGUUGAGAAAUCAGAGACUGAUGUUAAAUAUAAAUAAAAGAGAUUCAAAAUCUCAAGACUGAAAAUGGAAAACCAUAUUCCCAGGGAAAAUGAGUCCAUGAACACUACCAUUAUGAAUGUAAAUGGCAUAUAGCUUUUCAUCAUAGCUGAUCUGCCAGCUGAGGAAAGCGUUGCAGCAGCCAAACUACACCCUGGAUGGCAACCUGCAUGGUCCUAGAGGAGUUAAGAGAUCACAAUAGUUAUGCCUUUAUGCUACUAGAAUUGAAAAAUCAGCAUAUGGCUUUGGUUGGGAAAUGGGUCUGCCUAAAUCUAAUAAAGCAAUUGUAGCUGCUAAAUAUUCAAUCCAGUCCUUAAAUUAAAACAAAGGCUGACUGAGUUAUAAAAUUUAACUUUUUAUGCGA